GUUAAACAAAUUCUUGGAGAGGGCGAGAGUGGUGACUAAAGAGAGGAGCCUUUCCUCCCCUUUUGCCUGCGCUCCGGCGCGCGGAGAGCCUUUGGAAGGAAUUGGGCCAUGAGAAGAGCCCUCAUGAAUGGGAUUAGUUCCCUUAUAAGAAGAGACACCAAGGAAGUGAUCUUUCUCUGCCCUCUGCUAUGUGAAGACAAGGUCAUCUGCAGUUUUUUGUUGUUGUUGAUGAUCUUCCUGUCAUAGACAAUGCUGUAACAAACAGACUAAUUGUUCACUGUUGACAUAUAGAAGUACUACUGAUUGGCCAGACAUAGUGGCUCAUGCCUGGAAUCCCAGCACUUUGGGAGGCCAAGGCAGGUGGAUCACUUGAGCCCAGAAGUUUGAGACCAGCCUGGGCAACAUGAUGAAACCCCAUCUCUACAAAAUAAAUAGAAAAAUUAGCUGGGUAUGGUGGCAUGUGCCAGUAGUCCCAGCUACAUGGGAGCCUGAGGUGGGAGGACGACUUGAGCCCAGGAGGUGGAGGUUACAGUGAGCUGAGAUCAUGCCACUGCACUCCAGCCUGGGUGACAGAGUGGGACUCUGUCUAAAAAAAAAAUUGUAUUAUCUGUAAACGGAAAUAUAAAUAAUUUAACUUCUUCUUUUCCAA
rnacentral:lncRNA from 1 species